rnacentral:rRNA from 1 species
UACGUAGGGGGCAAGCGUUGUCCGGAUUUAUUGGGCGUAAAGAGCGUGUAGGCGGCCUGAAAGGUCAGCUGUGAAAACUCGAGGCUCAACCUCGAGACGUCGGUUGAAACCAUCCGGCUAGAGUCCGGAAGAGGAGUGUGGAAUUCCCGGUGUAGCGGUGAAAUGCGCAGAUAUCGGGAAGAACACCCGUGGCGAAGGCGGCACUCUGGGACGGUACUGACGCUGAGACGCGAAAGCGUGGGGAGCGAACAGG